rnacentral:rRNA from 1 species
UACGUAGGGUGCAAGCGUUGUCCGGAAUUAUUGGGCGUAAAGAGCUCGUAGGCGGUUUGUCGCGUCUGCUGUGAAAACGCGAGGCUCAACCUCGCGCCUGCAGUGGGUACGGGCAGACUAGAGUGCGGUAAGGGAGAUUGGAAUUCCUGGUGUAGCGGUGGAAUGCGCAGAUAUCAGGAGGAACACCGAUGGCGAAGGCAGAUCUCUGGGGCCGUUACUGACGCUGAGGAGCGAAAGCGUGGGGAGCGAACAGGG